AGGACGAACGCUGGCGGCGCGCCUCAUACAUGCAAGUCGAACGAGAAGCCCGGAGCUUGCUCUGGGUGGAAAGUGGCGAACGGGUGAGGAACACGUGAGGAACCUGCCCUGGAGACCGGGAUAACACCGGGAAACCGGUGCUAAUACCGGAUGCCCUCAUCGGACCGCAUGGUCUGAUGAGGAAAUGGAUUCCGCUCCAGGAUGGUCUUGCGGCCUAUCAGCUUGUUGGCGGGUAACGGCCCACCAAGGCAUCGACGGGUAGCUGGUCUGAGAGGAUGUCCAGCCACACUGGGACUGAGACACGGCCCAGACUCCUACGGGAGGCAGCAGUAGGGAAUCUUGCACAGUGGGCGAAAGCCUGAUGCAGCGACGCCGCGUGCGGGAUGACGGCCUCGGGUUGUAAACCGCUUUCAGCAGGGACGAAAUUGACGGUACCUGCAGAAGAGCCCGGCAACUACGUGCCAGCAGCCGC
rnacentral:rRNA from 1 species